GGAAGGAGAGGCCCAGCAGCGAGGGGGAGGCAGAGGCUGCAUACCAGGCUGUAUCCUGUGGAGAUAAGCAGAGCCCUGAAGUCAUCCGAGUCCAUGCUGCCUGUCUGCUUCUGCUCGAGGACGCAGGGACAGCAGAGGAGACCAGGCCCAGAGAAGGCAAGAGGGGCCGCCCCAUGUGCACAGCAGGGAGACAGGACAGUGGCGGGAGCCGGGGAGACAGAGGCGGCCCCGGGAGACCAGGGCAUCAAGCGUCACCAUGGACGAGGUCAGGCUGCCCAAAGGGUGACAACCAGCCCCGACACGUCAACCCGGCCACAGCAAGUGGGUGCCCGCGCUGAUCUCUGUCCUCCGGCCAGGACGUCGCCACCGAGGCCACAGUGGGCAGGGGCCGCCCUCCCUCCCAGCUCUCCCACGAGUGUGUCCCAAGCCUGUGCUGUCUCGGUGAUGGAAGAAAUGGGAUGAGAAAACCCAGGAGCAGAAGUUAAACUGUACCUGACCUCCUGGUCAGCGGGCAGGGCAGAGCCGAGACGCGAACCCUCUCCUACCUGACUCCUCCACCCUGCUACCCUCUGGAGGGCGCUGCCGCUUCCAGCAACACAGUCACAGACCCUCCCACUCCCAGGGGGCGGCCGUCGCUCCCGGAGUGGGGCCCCAGGCAGACCCAGCAGGGAGGACCGGGGACCCGGCGCAAGGGGCAGCCGGCCUCCCGCUCACGGCGGCUCCUUCUCCACUCUGCCCUAAGAGACUCUCCUGGGCGCGGCCAGGCUGGGCAACGGGCCCUCACCUCCAUCUUCGUCUGGAUCCAGGGCCCCACGAUGUUGGCCUGGCUGGCGAACUGGCGGCGGAGGCGCUCGUUGGACUGCUGCUUGCUCUGCUCCUCCAGGAGUGCGUGGUCCCGCUUGGGCACCAGCUGCUGCACCUGGA